rnacentral:rRNA from 1 species
CAGUAGCCGCGGUAAUACGUAGGUGGCAAGCGUUGCCCGGAAUUAUUGGGCGUAAAGGGCUCGCAGGCGGUUUCUUAAGUCUGAUGUGAAAGCCCCCGGCUCAACCGGGGAGGGUCAUUGGAAACUGGGAAACUUGAGUGCAGAAGAGGAGAGUGGAAUUCCACGUGUAGCGGUGAAAUGCGUAGAGAUGUGGAGGAUCACCAGUGGCGAAGGCGACUCUCUGGUCUGUAACUGACGCUGAGGAGCGAAAGCGUGGGGAGCGAACAGGAUUAGAUACCCCCGUAGUCCCUGUCUCUUAUAC